rnacentral:rRNA from 1 species
GGCGCACGGGUGCGGAACGCGUAUGGAACCUGCCCCUGUCAGGGGAAUAGCCCAGAGAAAUUUGGAUUAAUGCCCCAUGGUAUCGAAUUGCCGCAUGGUAAUUUGAUUAAAGAUUUAUCGGACAGGGAUGGGCAUGCGUACCAUUAGCUAGUUGGUGAGGUAACGGCUUACCAAGGCAACGAUGGUUAGGGGCCCUGAGAGGGGGAUCCCCCACACUGGUACUGAGACACGGACCAGACUCCUACGGGAGGCAGCAGUGAGGAAUAUUGGACAAUGGCCGGAAGGUUGAUCCAGCCAUGCCGCGUGCAGGAUGACUGCCCUAUGGGUUGUAAACUGCUUUUAUACGGGAAGAAACCUGUCCACGUGUGGACAGCUGACGGUACCGUAAGAAUAAGGACCGGCUAACUCCGUGCCAGCAGCCGCGGUAAUACGGAGGGUCCGAGCGUUAUCCGGAAUCAUUGGGUUUAAAGGGUCCGUAGGCGGGCCUAUAAGUCAGGGGUGAAAGGCCACGGCUCAACCGUGGGACUGCCCUUGAUACUGUAGGUCUUGAGUUAUAGUGGGGUUGCCGGAACAUGUGGUGUAGCGGUGAAAUGCAUAGAUAUCACAUAGAACACCGAUCGCGAAGGCAGGUGACCAACUAUAUACUGACGCUGAUGGACGAAAGCGUGGGUAGCGAACGGGAUUAGAUACCCCGGGAGUCCACGCCGUAAACGAUGUAUACUAGCUGUCGGGACCUCGGUCUCCGGGGCCAAGCGAAAGUGAUAAGUAUCCCACCUGGGGAGUACGUUCGCGAAGAAUGAAACUCAAAGGAAUUGACGG